AUUGAACGCUGGCGGCAGGCCUAACACAUGCAAGUCGAAUGGUAACAGGAAACAGCUUGCUGUUUCGCUGACGAGUGGCGGACGGGUGAGUAAUGUCUGGGAAACUGCCUGAUGGAGGGGGAUAACUACUGGAAACGGUAGCUAAUACCGCAUAACGUCGCAAGACCAAAGAGGGGGACCUUCGGGCCUCUUGCCAUCAGAUGUGCCCAGAUGGGAUUAGCUAGUAGGUGGGGUAACGGCUCACCUAGGCGACGAUCCCUAGCUGGUCUGAGAGGAUGACCAGCCACACUGUAACUGAGACACGGUCCAGACUCCUACGGGAGGCAGCAGUGGGGAAUAUUGCACAAUGGGCGCAGGCCUGAUGCAGCCAUGCCGCGUGUAUGAAGAAGGCCUUCGGGUUGUAAAGUACUUUCAGCGGGGAGGAAGGGAGUAAAGUUAAUACCUUUGCUCAUUGACGUUACCCGCAGAAGAAGCACCGGCUAACUCCGUG
rnacentral:rRNA from 1 species